AGAGUUUGAUCCUGGCUCAGGAUGAACGCUGGCGGCGUGCCUAAUACAUGCAAGUCGAGCGAACGGACGAGAAGCUUGCUUCUCUGAUGUUAGCGGCGGACGGGUGAGUAACACGUGGAUAACCUACCUAUAAGACUGGGAUAACUUCGGGAAACCGGAGCUAAUACCGGAUAAUAUUUUGAACCGCAUGGUUCAAAAGUAAAAGACGGUCUUGCUGUCACUUAUAGAUGGAUCCGCGCUGCAUUAGCUAGUUGGUAAGGUAACGGCUUACCAAGGCAACGAUGCAUAGCCGACCUGAGAGGGUGAUCGGCCACACUGGAACUGAGACACGGUCCAGACUCCUACGGGAGGCAGCAGUAGGGAAUCUUCCGCAAUGGGCGAAAGCCUGACGGAGCAACGCCGCGUGAGUGAUGAAGGUCUUCGGAUCGUAAAACUCUGUUAUUAGGGAAGAACAUAUGUGUAAGUAACUGUGCACAUCUUGACGGUACCUAAUCAGAAAGCCACGGCUAACUACGUGCCAGCAGCCGCGGUAAUACGUAGGUGGCAAGCGUUAUCCGGAAUUAUUGGGCGUAAAGCGCGCGUAGGCGGUUUUUUAAGUCUGAUGUGAAAGCCCACGGCUCAACCGUGGAGGGUCAUUGGAAACUGGAAAACUUGAGUGCAGAAGAGGAAAGUGGAAUUCCAUGUGUAGCGGUGAAAUGCGCAGAGAUAUGGAGGAACACCAGUGGCGAAGGCGACUUUCUGGUCUGUAACUGACGCUGAUGUGCGAAAGCGUGGGGAUCAAACAGGAUUAGAUACCCUGGUAGUCCACGCCGUAAACGAUGAGUGCUAAGUGUUAGGGGGUUUCCGCCCCUUAGUGCUGCAGCUAACGCAUUAAGCACUCCGCCUGGGGAGUACGACCGCAAGGUUGAAACUCAAAGGAAUUGACGGGGACCCGCACAAGCGGUGGAGCAUGUGGUUUAAUUCGAAGCAACGCGAAGAACCUUACCAAAUCUUGACAUCCUUUGACAACUCUAGAGAUAGAGCCUUCCUCUUCGGGGGACAAAGUGACAGGUGGUGCAUGGUUGUCGUCAGCUCGUGUCGUGAGAUGUUGGGUUAAGUCCCGCAACGAGCGCAACCCUUAAGCUUAGUUGCCAUCAUUAAGUUGGGCACUCUAAGUUGACUGCCGGUGACAAACCGGAGGAAGGUGGGGAUGACGUCAAAUCAUCAUGCCCCUUAUGAUUUGGGCUACACACGUGCUACAAUGGACAAUACAAAGGGCAGCGAAACCGCGAGGUCAAGCAAAUCCCAUAAAGUUGUUCUCAGUUCGGAUUGUAGUCUGCAACUCGACUACAUGAAGCUGGAAUCGCUAGUAAUCGUAGAUCAGCAUGCUACGGUGAAUACGUUCCCGGGUCUUGUACACACCGCCCGUCACACCACGAGAGUUUGUAACACCCGAAGCCGGUGGAGUAACCUUUUAGGAGCUAGCCGUCGAAGGUGGGACAAAUGAUUGGGGUGAAGUCGUAACAAGGUAGCCGUAUCGGAAGGUGCGGCUGGAUCACCU
rnacentral:rRNA from 45 species